AGCGAUCACCUAUCACAACGGAUCGUCCGGCACGUACCUGCCGGUGAAGGAGAAACAA
rfam:Marine metagenome ctg_1101668160299, whole genome shotgun sequence.